ACUCGGAUGUCCACAGUCUGUCCACUUUCAAUUCCUCUUCAUUCGUGCAGCCGUUUUUUGCUGUGACGUAGUAGUGGGUAUAUCUUUCUCGUGAAAUAACAUGUUGUGUUCUUCGAGUGAAUAUAUUCUUUGAGGCUUUUUUAAGGCAGAUUUUGAAACAAUAUAGCAAAAUUUAUUGCUCUAUAAUGAAACUAAAAAAUUACAACUUUUAACUACAAAAACAUGCAAAAAAAUGGUAUAAUUUGAGGUUUACCUAAUUUUAAUUUUGAUUUUUCAAACAUUUAAACAUCCAUAAAAAAAAUACAAAAUCAUUUUUUGGCAUCAUUUCUCCUAUUUUAAAUAAUUUUAUUUUAAAAAUUAGCUUCUCAACAUUGGAAAAAAUGAUCGAACAUGCAACUUUUCUAGCUAUAAUUGAAAAUCUGUCAUUGAGCAAUUAAUAUAGACCCAUUUUUUCAACACCCAUACCUUUCUUAUCAGUUUCCCUCUUGCCAUCUUUCGUGUACAUUUGCAACAUUUUCUGGAUCAUCAAUCAAGUGUGCACUGACCACUCUCUCUCUCCUCCUAUUUCCCUCCUUCUAAAUUCGUCUAGGCGUCGUUUGCGUAUGUGUAUGUAGCGGCAGGCACUGCCCCGUUUCACGCACUUUUGCCUGAUACCAUGGAGGACGACGGCGCCCGGUACUGCCGCCCGGGCCCGCGGUUCGCAACAAUGGAGCAUACGGAGACGAAGAGACGCAGCGAACCGCGAGCCACCAAGUUGCUCCGUGUGCCGCCGGCGCCCUUUUAGCCCCACCUCUCGCGGGUUUCUGUUCAUAUAUGAGAAGCGCAUCAGUUUUUUUUUCUUAUUCUAGAUGAGUAGCCCACCUAGCAGCGGUCGUUUUUUUCUCUUUUCGUAGGAAAAUUUUCAGUUACACUUAUUUAUUAGAAACCUAGAUUUAGAGACUUUUAGAAUAACUUUACUUCCUAGAACACAUCUCCCUUUGAAUUUAUAUGUCUAAUUUAACAACAAGUACUAAUCCAUUUUUCAGGCAAGCAGGCGAUUGGUGGACGGUCUACACUGUGGAUCCGGUGAGGUAGUAGGUUGUAUAGUUUGGAAUAUUACCACCGGUGAACUAUGCAAUUUUCUACCUUACCGGAGACAGAACUCUUCGAAGCUGCGUCGUCUUGCUCUCACAACUUUCUUUUCGUUUUCUUCCUCCUCUUACUUUCACCUCUUUGUUUUUCUUUAUUUUGUGCUAUCAAUUCGGAGUCGCAAGAACUGUAUUCGGUGAUCCCUAUUGAUAUUCUUUUGUACUGUAUUCGGAGAUAUUGUUUCACGAACUGUAUUCGGAGAACUGUUGUAUCGGUAAUGUAUCUGGAGAGAAUAAUCUAAUCGUAUGUACUGUUGAGUAAUGUAUCCAUGGAGCCGUUUGACAUUUCUAGUGGUAAGAUGUGCAAUAGUUCCAAUUGCUAGUCUUCACCAUUGUAGAUAGUGGAAAUCAUGUUUAUUUUCAGGGGAACCUCAUCUGCUGGGCAACUACUCCAACAUGCGUGUCGCCUAGGGAAUGCCGUCUGGCACCAAGUGGGCUGUCACCGCAAAUCAUCAGGAUCUCACACUUCUACCUCAACACCUCUACCUCAUCCGCAUCUACCUCGAUUGGACCUAUUUUUUUUAAAUUCUUCAAAUAAAAACUUUUUUAUAAUUUAAACAUUUGAACUUGCUCUUGAUAAUUAGAUAAAUUUUUUAUUUACAACA
ensembl:miRNA let-7 miscRNA